AGCAGUAGCCGCGGUAAUACGAAGGGUGCAAGCGUUAAUCGGAAUUACUGGGCGUAAAGCGUGCGUAGGCGGUUUGUUAAGUCUGCUGUGAAAUCCCCGGGCUCAACCUGGGAAUGGCAGUGGAUACUGGCAAGCUAGAGUGUGUCAGAGGAUGGUGGAAUUCCCGGUGUAGCGGUGAAAUGCGUAGAGAUCGGGAGGAACAUCAGUGGCGAAGGCGGCCAUCUGGGACAACACUGACGCUGAGGCACGAAAGCGUGGGGAGCAAACAGGAUUAGAUACCCGAGUAGUCCCUGUCUCUUAUAA
rnacentral:rRNA from 1 species